rnacentral:rRNA from 1 species
UUAAAUGGCCGCAGUAUUUUGACUGUGCAAAGGUAGCAUAAUAAUUAGUUUCUUAAUUAGAAGCUAGAAUGAAAGGUUGAACGAAAUAAUAACUGUCUCUUUAUAAAUUUAUUAGAAUUUUAUUUUUAAGUUAAAAAGCUUAAAUAUUUUUAAAAGACGAGAAGACCCUAUAGAGUUUUAUAUAAUUUUUUAUAAUAAUUUUAUUUUUAAUUAUAAAAAUUUUAUAAAAAAUUAUAUUUAGUUGGGGUGAUUGAAAAAUUUAAUAAACUUUUUUUUUAAUAAAACAUUUUUAUAUGAUUAAUUGAUCCAUUAUUAAUGAUUAAAAGAUUAAAUUACCUUAGGGAUAACAGCGUAAUUUCUUUUUAGAGUUCAAAUCGAUAAAGAAGUUUGCGACCUCGAUGUUGGAUUAAAAUAAAUUUUUGGUGUAGAAGCUAAAAUAUUAGGUCUGUUCGACCUUUAAAAUUUUACAUGAUCUGAGUUUAAACCGGUGUAAGCCAGGUUGGUUUUUAUCUUUAAAUAAUUAAAAUAUUUUAGUACGAAAGGACCAAAUAUUUAAAAAAUUUUUUAAAUAUUGAAUAAUAUUAAUUU